GAUGUGACAAAGAUGAUUGAAGGCAGACUGUGGACGUUGUCUAUAUGGACAUUGAACAAAGCAGACUGAUCCCAGUGAUUAAUGCCAAAGCCCUGUUGCCUGGGGAGAGGGUGAUGUUUGACUUUCUUGUACAGCUGCAGAUUGUGUGGUGAAGGUGCUCCCACAAUGUGGUUGGGAUAUUAAAUCAGAAUAAUUGAAGUUGGGAUCUAAAAAGCAAGUUUUUACAGUCAAUGGAUUCAUCAGGAUCUGAAUAUCAUUGGCAUUUAACUGUGGAAGAAGAAAGGAUGAGGCUGUCACUGGCUCGGCCAGCAUUUAUUGCUGCGUUUACCCAGAGGGCAGUUAAGAGUCAACCACGUUGCUGUAGGUCUGGAGUCCCAUGCAGACCAGA